CCCUUGCGCCGCACCCUCCGAGGCGGCUGAUUCGGCUGCGUUCCUCUUGGAACGCGCUGCAGAAGGUGUCCUGGUGACGAGUGGAGUGCCGCGUUCGCUCCCUGAGUCCACCCGCCAGCCCGCGGUCCUCCGCGCCACAUCCCGCACACCCGCCCCUCUCCCGUACCAGGAACUUGCUGCCACCAGCACCAUGCCCUACCAAUAUCCAGCGCUGACCCCGGAGCAGAAGAAGGAGCUGUCUGACAUCGCUCACCACAUCGUGGCCCUGGGCAAGGGCAUCCUGGCUGCAGAUGAGUCCACUGGGAGCAUUGCCAAGCAGCUGCAGUCCAUUGGCACCGAGAACACUGAGGAGAACCUGCGUUUCUACUGUCAGCUGCUGCUGACAGCUGAUGACCGCAUGACCCCCUGCAUCGGGGGCGUCAUCCUCUUCCACGGGACACUCUACCAGAAGGCUGAUGAUGGGCGUCAAUUCCCCCAAGUUAUCAAAUCCAAGGGCGGUGUUGUGGGCAUCCAAGUAGACAAGGGCGUGGUCCCCUUGGCAGGGAGAAAUGGUGAGACCACCAUCCAAGGGCUGGAUGGGCUGUCUGAGCGCUGUGCCCAGUACAAGAAGGAUGGCGCUGACUUCGCCAAAUGGCGUUGUGUGCUGAAGAUUGGGGAGCACACCCCCUCAGCCCUCGCCACCAUGGAAAAUGUCCUGGCCCGUUACGCCAGCAUCUGCCAGCAGAAUGGCACUGUGCCCAUCGUGAAGCCUGAAAUCCUCCCUGAUGGGGACCAUGACUUGAAGCGCUGUCAGUAUGUGACUGAGAAGGUGCUGGCUGCUGUCUACAAGGCUCUGAGCGACCACCACAUCUACCUGGAAGGCACGUUGCUGAAGCCCAACAUGGUUACCCCAGGCUACGCCUGCACUCAGAAUUUUUCUCAGGAGGAGAUUGCCGUGGUGACUGUCACAGCGCUGCGCUGCACAAUUCCCCCCUGCACCCCCCCCCCACCCUGCUGUCCCUGGGAUCACCUUCCUUUCUGGAGGCCAGAGUGAGGAGCAGGCGUCCAUCAACCUCAACGCCAUUAACAAGUGGCCCCUGCUGAAGCCCUGGGCCCUGACCUUCUCCCAGGGCCGAGCCCUGCCGGCCUCUGCCCUGAAGGCCUGAGGUGGGAAGAAGGAAAACAAGAAGAUGGCGCAGGAAGAGUACAUCAAGCCCUCCCUGGCCAACAGCCUCACCUGUCAAGGAAAGUACACCCCAAGCGGUCAGGCUGGGGCUGCUGCCAGCGAGUCCUUACUAAGCGGAGGUGUUCCCAAGCUGACCCCAACACUCCAGGCCCUGCCCCGUCCCACAAUAUCUUGAAGAGCGGGCCUCCUACUCCGGGGCUCCAGACUGGCUUGCCCACACUCUUGCCUCCCUUGUGACAGUGAUGUGUGGUGUCGUCUGUGAAUGCUAACUCCAUCGCCCUUUCCAGCACACUGCCAAUAAACAGCUAUUUAAGGGGG